rnacentral:rRNA from 1 species
CAAGGAGAACGUUUUCUUCGGAAAACUAUUAAACUGGCGAACGGGUUAGUAACGCGUAGGCAACCUACCUUUUAGAUUGGGACAACCCCGUGAAAAUGGGGCUAAUACCAUAUAAUAUAUUAAAUCUCUGGAUUUAAUAUCAAAGCAGGCUUCGGCUUGCACUAUUAGAUGGGCCUGCGUCUGAUUAGUUUGUUGGUAAGGUAAUGGCUUACCAAGGCUACGAUCAGUAGGUGGCUCGAGAGGGUGAUCACCAACACUGGGACUGAGAUACGGCCCAGACUCCUACGGGAGGCAGCAGUGAGGAAUUUUGCGCAAUGGCCGAAAGGUUGACGCAGCAACGCCGCGUGAUUGAAGAAGGUUUGAGGACUGUAAAGAUCUGUUAUAAAGGAAGAAAAGCGAUUAAUCUAACAAAUUAUUUGUUUGACGGUACUUUAUGAGAAAGCACCGGCUAACUUCGUGCCAGCAGCCGCGGUAAUACGAGGGGUGCAAGCGUUGUCCGGAUUUAUUGGGCGUAAAGAGCUCGUAGGUGGGUUUGUAAGUGAAAAUUGAAAUACAAUGGCUUAACCAUUGGCACGGUUUUCAUACUGCAAAUCUUGAGUUAUGUAGAGGUAAGUGGAAUUUCUGGUGUAGCGGUGAAAUGCGUAGAUAUCAGAAGGAACACCAAAGGCGAAGGCAACUUACUGGACAUAAACUGACACUGAGGAGCGAAAGCGUGGGUAGCAAACAGGAUUAGAGACCCUGGUAGUCCACGCCGUAAACGAUGAGUACUUGGUGAUGGGGGAUUCGACCCUUUCAUUGCCGGAGUUAACGCAUUAAGUACUCCGCCUGGGGACUACGACCGCAAGGUUGAAACUCAAAGGAAUUGACGGGGACCCGCA